CCUCUAUUUCCUGACAUGCGUGUGGAUGUUGUUCAGUUCUUUUGCGUGUAAUGUACGGAGGUAGAAAAGUGCCAGUGCUAUGUUUUCGGUGCUAGUAUGUGUUCAUCGUCUACUGAUUCUAUCCUCAAUCACUGGGACAUGC